UACGUAGGUGGCAAGCGUUGUCCGGAAUUACUGGGUGUAAAGGGUGCGCAGGCGGGACUGCAAGUUGGAUGUGAAAUACCGGGGCUUAACCCCGGGGCUGCAUCCAAAACUGUGGUUCUUGAGUGGAGUAGAGGUAAGCGGAAUUCCGAGUGUAGCGGUGAAAUGCGUAGAUAUUCGGAGGAACACCAGUGGCGAAGGCGGCUUACUGGGCUCUAACUGACGCUGAGGCACGAAAGCAUGGGUAGCAA
rnacentral:rRNA from 1 species